rnacentral:lncRNA from 1 species
AGGGACCUUACUGCUAUUAUUCUGUGGUUACAUGUAGUAGCGACUUUUAUGUUACUCAUUUGUUCGUUUCACAGAAAUGAGUGUUCUUGUGUUUGUCAUGUUUGUUUGUGCUGUAUUUCUGUCAUGUAAUGUUGUCAUUUUAGCGAUGUUUUUUUUUUAAUAUUGCUAUAUACGCAGUUUAUUUAGCUAACCAUUAAUCCUGAUUCAACCCACCAUGUUUUUCUUUAAAUGUCCUGUCGUUUGCACUUUUUUUUUGUUGCACUUCAGUGUUUCUGUUGUUCCUUUAUUUUUUCUCUUGUAGUUGAUGUGUUUCUCUCGGUUUUAGAUUGUCAUCCGAAUUUGUUUUCUCUCAAUCGAUUUAUGAUUUUUGAACAGUAGUAUACUACUGUUGCCUUUAUCUAACAAUAAAUAUUCCUUUACACCUUGUGUAAAAAUAUACAACUAUGUAAAAAUGCUUCCCUUCUCAGUGACUAUGAAGACAAUUUUAAUCAAACGUAAAAGGUGCUUUGCUGUAUUCACUGCAUGCGCUGCUUAUCCAUGUCAUCCUAGAUAACUUUUCGAAAUAAAAAUCCCAACAUAUUUGAAACAGUUGCCUAAAUGUUUUCAUUUGGAACGUAGCAUAAUAUAUUUAUUAUUAAUUCAAAAUUCAUAAAUCAAAUACCUUAUGCUUUAAUUAAAAAAAAACUGUUUCUUGGAUAAUGUACACCAAGCAUGUUAACGACCGCC